CCGCCCGCGCGGCGUCGCAGGGCCCCGGGAACGCCUGGCUUCGGAGGGUCGCGGGGGCCGGGGCCGAGCUCGGCGAGGCUGGCGCCGAGGCUCCCCGGGACCCGAGCCGCAAAGCGGGGAGAAAGUUUUGUUCGCAGCACGGCAUAGUCGUGGGCCGCUGGGGCUUGCGUCUUCUGACACCCUCCGAGGCCGCACCCUCCAGCUUCGACUUCUCGUGUUAAUACUUUGAAAGCUGCAAAAUAAUAAAAACUGCAGAGAAGUUCCCAAGGAAUAGGCGCUGGGCCCCUGGUCUGGAGUGAAAACGUGAGUUUCAACUCCCCAACUCUACACAGGAUCUCUGAGAAAAAGCAUUUUUACUAUUUAGCAAGGUGGUUCUUGUGAAUAUGGAAGACCUCGCUUAAAAAAGAAAAUGUUUUAAACACACGAAGAAUUAGCUUCCCGCCAAAGGAAAACGACUGUCAAGGAAAAGUCGUUGUAGCACUGUUUGAGCAACUCAAGUUCUGGUGACCAUGAAGGGGCCUCAUGGAUGUUGCUGGUGGAUCCUGAGACCCCCUGAAGAAGGCAGAGGAGCCACAGAUCGCUUUUGAGGUCUCUUCUCUUCCUCAUGGAUCCCCAAAUAUUGGUCUCACUAUGUAGUUCAGGCUGGCCUGGACUCACCAUCU